GUCUACAGAUGUAUCAUCUGAACAUGCCUGGCCUCAUCCUAUCUCAGAAGCUAAACAGCUUUGGCUUGGUUAGUACUUGGGUGGGAGAAAGAAUUUCUUGGUAACACCACCAAGGUCAGAAAACA
rnacentral:rRNA from 1 species